UAAAGACCUAAAUGUGAAAAGUACAACGUUAAAGCUUCUAAAAAGAAUAUAGAUGAACAUUGGGAAGGGGCAGAGUUUCUUAAUGACACAAAAAGUGUACACCAGAGGGGAAAGGGUUGCUUAUUUGAUGACAUGUUACAUUAUGUGCCAGAAGUCUCCAUCAACAAAGUGAGAAAAUGAGCCUCACACUAUUCGCAAACCAUUUAACCAAUGAGGAUUAGUCUCCAACACGUCCAAAGGACACCUGCCAAUAGAUUUUUCUCUAGAUUAAAAAAUCUACCUUUGACUGUUAAUAAGAUUGUGUUCAUGUUCACUGAAUUUUUACUAUUUCUUUUAUGAAUUCCUACUCAAAUAUUUUUGGGGUGAUUUCAAUGUCCCUUUUUCUUAGUAACUGUUAAAGCUCUUUAUACAUUUUACGAAUAUUUUCCGCCGAAAGUGCCAGACUCAAACUGGCUUAAUUAACAAAUGAAUGUAUUACUUCACAAAGGUCCAGUGCUGAGUGAGGCACCCGGGGCCCUUCCUUCCACCUCUGUGCUCUGCCGGGGGCUUCAGCUGCAGACCAGCCCCUUUCACGUCCUAAAAUGGCAGCAGCACCUCCAAGCACCACAUGCAGACCCACCACUGCCCAGACGUCGGGAGGCUCUGCCUGCCGCUUCUUCAAUGAGAGGAGACCUGUCCCAGAAGUCCCCUGCAGACAUCCCUCAUUGGCUCGGGUUGGUCACAUGUCCCUUCCUCCAUCCAUCACUGGCAAGAGAGGGAUUUAUUACAGUUAGUUAAGACUCAUCCUCUGGGGGUAGCACAGCUGUUGGGAGUCAGUCACCAUGACCCUCUGUUGAUGAGUAGAAGCUGCACUUUGUCACAUAAAGUGUAUUUUCCCAGCUUCCCAUGUCUUGUAGUAUGACCAGAUAUCAGGUGCCAUAUUUCCCAGUGCUCAGAUGCCUCAGUUAAAAGGGGCAUUAAUCCAGUAGCCUUUCAGAAGAGGAGAGGACUAUAUUCCCUGCUCACGUGAAGGACUAAACAAGCCCUCACAACACAUCCAGUCGGAGUCACUUUCUUCAAGAUCACAGAGUGUGAGUCUGAGUCUUGCUCACAGGCUCCCCUUCUCUUUUGGACGUGGGUCAGGAAACACAGCAUCACGGCCACCACUGCUUUCUGUCACCCUGUUUCUAGCCUUGGCCCUUUGGGCCCCUUUAAAACCAACAGUGUAAUUUCAAAGCAUAUGAAAGGAUUUGGGGGUGAGUAGGUCACACCAAUCCCUGCCGGCUUUCAAAUGUUUAUGAUCUACUUUAGGAAGUUGGGCAAAUUCUUUUCACUUCUUAGACUAGUAAAGCACGGUUAUGUUAGUGUACAAAUUCAAAUGGUAUUUAGACAAACAGGGUAAAAAUAAGGUGGAAGUCUUUCAAUAACCCCUAAUUCCUAAAUUUAGUUCCCUUCCCAAGGGAAUCACUGUGUGAGGUGUGAACCUUCCAAAACGUUACCUGUGGCUUGACGGGCACACAGUUUGUGUAACCCCGGUUAUGGGUUUUACAUAUAGUAAAUCAUCCUGUAUAUACUCAGUAGCUUUUUUCAUAUAAGUUUGUUUUGGAGAUCUUCCCAUGUGAGUUCCCUAAUGGUGGACAUUUAGGUUGUUUCUAAUUAUUUGCUCUUACAAACAGUGCUAUAAUUAACAUCCUUGUAAAUGUCUCUUUGUGCAUAUGGGCAAGCAUUUCUUUAGGGUAGCUAUCUAUGGUUUGGCAAUUUCUGCUGUCUUUAAUUGCAUUGCCUGGUAUCUGGCAGACGAUCUUCUGCAUGUACAAUAACUUUUCAUGUCCGUGCUCCAUUAUAGUGUAAGUUCUAAAAAGAUGUUUUAGGCAACAAUUAGGAAUCUAAGUUUAAGUUCAGAUUCUGUGCAGACUGCUAUGGGUAGCUGAGGUGACACUUGAAUGAACCGCUACACGUGGCGAAGUUUACACUUGCACAGGCAGUGGGUAAGGUCUCCUCUCCCCCCACCCCGACGUCCGUUGCAAGGCACAUCAUGACUUUUAAAACAUUAAAAUGUGGGGGAAAUGCAUCUUAGGACCAAGGAGUGAAGAUAUUUUGUUUUCCCCAAAGGAAGAGCCCUAUAGCCCCGUUGCUUCACCUUCGCGUUUGAAUGGUCCUUUCCUGGGAGCCGAUGUAACUGCUCUUCCACAGACUCAUUUCCCCUCCAGGGGGAGUGUUUCUGGACUCCUAAUUCUGCCUCUCUGCGUGGCUGCUCCUGUGCCAAGAUCAGGGGGCAAGCUCCCCUAUCGUCUUCUUUUGGGGGACUUUUUUUUGCACAUUUGUCUUUCUGUCUACUGCUCUUUCUUCUUCCCCACACUGUCCCUUUGGCACAGGGUGCUUCAUUAGCUGUUCACAAUCUGCAUGAUUUUGCAUCACGAUGGGUCUGAUGUGAGAACAUCUGCAGCAGUCAAGAGCAUAUUUUCCUCAGGACUUGACACCGAGCUUGCCAUCAGUGUGAAGCGAUCCCCCCCCUCCCUCCCUCAUCUUGUGACAUCUCUCAGCAUAGCUUCUCCAACAUCAGUUAUGCCUGAGUCUUGAGUGGUGUCAAAUCUGAGUUGAAAAUUUGCCAGCUUCUUUAACAUGAUCACUAACAGACUGCUUAAUUAACCUGCUGAUACCGUCAAUAAUAGAUCUUGCUGGUGAGCUAGAAAGGAGACCCAUGGCCCACAGCUGGUCUCUCUUUCUCUCUCUUUUUUUCAUUUGCUUAGGCUCUCAGUGCUCGUGACUCGGGAGCUGGACUUGCCAGGAGUGGGGAUAGGAGGGACCAGGGAGGCUUGAAAGGAAUAUGGCAGAAAUGAAUGUUCUGGAUGAGAUCAUGGAAAUGAACUUGCUGAAACCAUCUCGUGUUCUCAUUGCUCAGAGACUCGGAUGGCUAGGAACCUGUGCAUACAGCAGGUGCUCAAUAAAACGGGUCACCAGUGUACGGUCAACAGAAGAGAUUACAGGGCGUGUGCCAUGCAGCUUAGAUGAGAAGAGGGCUUUCUCGUGCCCAAGCUGUCCUGGAGGGGCUGUCUGAGGGGAAGGACGCUGUUCACUUCUUUUCCUGCUUUAUGUUUCAUCCCUAGUGGUUUUUGAACCAAAGUUGUACUCUGUCUGCUGUGGCUACAUUUCACAUCUUGGAAAUUGCAGAGAGUAAGCAAGAUGUCAUGUCUGGGACUGGUUAGCCACCACCUCCAAAUACUCUCUUCUUUGUCUCCUGCACCAGUGCGUGCGCGCGCACGCACAGCACAGGGCUAGAGAGGUUCCAGCUGUCCCCGGCUUCCCCUGACCUGGUGGGGGCUUGGGUGCAGACGCUGACGUUCCGUGUGAGCUCAGCCAGUGCCCAGAGAUCCCACAGAGACGCUAAAUGCAGCACGUCCUGUCAUACCCAGGGAAGCCUAUAAGGGUGGCUGCGUCGGGUCGCAGAAUGAGCUGGUGGCGCUGCCUGAAGGCAGGUGCUCAUCCCCUGGAACGCGUGCCUUUAGCUUUGCCUUUUCUGCAGCGGUGGUGGUGGUGCGGUGCUGCUGUGGCAGUGAUGUGAGGGGUCCUCAGAGGGCAGAGAUCAAUGUCUUUCAGGGCAGAAUACCCCCAUAUCCUCUCCAAUGGUUUUGUUGGGUCUCCUGGGAACCAAGGGCCUGGCAGCCCCAGAGGUGUGAGGGAUGCAGAGUGUUCCUGCCGCCACUAGAGGGCGAGUCACUAACACACAGGCCAGGUGUCCACUUCCCAAGGCCACGCUGGGGGCCUUUCUGGGCCCUAAACCCUGGGCUGGGGGCACCCAGGUCUGGCAGGAGCUUGCCUCUGGGGGUGAGGACGGGGAGAUUCAGAGCCAGGACUGUAACUCAAGCCCAGCUGGCCCCAAAUCCGGUCUCCCAACCUCUCCUUCUUUACCUCUGGUUCCCCUUCGCUUUCUGUCAGUCUCUGUGGAAGACAAGGGUUUCUCAACGUUUCGGACCAGAUAAUUCUUUGUGGUGGGAGCUGUGCAUUGUAGGGCGUUGAGCAGCACCUCUGGUCUCUCCACACGAGAUGACAGUAGCCACCCCCACCCCAGGUUGAGAUCAUCAAAAAUGUCUCCAAACCUUGCCAGAUGUCGCACGAGCUCGCCCCUGGCUGUGUGAGGCUGGUGAGCGAUGCUGCUGUGAGGGCAGGAGGGUUCCGGUGCAGAAGAGGUCUGCCCACGGUUACCACCGCGGCUGAGUGUCGUGUGCAAACACGAGAGCUACUCAAAGAUGGCAUAUGUGCUGUAAAUACAUUUUAAAACCGUA